rnacentral:rRNA from 1 species
UACGAAGGGGCUAGCGUUGCUCGGAAUUACUGGGCGUAAAGGGAGCGUAGGCGGGUUAUCAAGUUGGAGGUGAAAGCCCAGGGCUCAACCUUGGAAUUGCCUUCAAACUGAUAACCUAGAGGAUGAUAGAGGUAAGUGGAACUCCGAGUGUAGAGGUGAAAUUCGUAGAUAUUCGGAAGAACACCAGUGGCGUAAGGCGACUUACUGGAUCAGUUACUGACGCUGAGGCUCGAAAGCGUGGGGAGCAAACAGG